CUCACGCACCAUGUUCCCAUGGAGACAUCUACCGAAAGUAAAUAUUGUAGAUAGUCCCAACAAACAAAAGAUGAAGUACCUACUAUCUAUUCAUCUACUUUAGUUUUUACAUCAGAGAACGGCAUCAUCAGCCUUCAGUCGGGCUUUGCCUUUUACCACCUACCAAUUAUGUUAAACUAGAACUCCUGCAUCCCAUUCCUGUACAUUAAC
rnacentral:lncRNA from 1 species